rnacentral:lncRNA from 1 species
GUUUGCUUACAUAAACAAGCUCUCUUCGAUCAUUGCCCUUGAAUAUUGAUGUAGGACCAUUUAUAGUACAGAAGUCAUUUAGAGUUCGUGUUUUUCAGUUUAAUGAGCAAAGCAGACAAAAUAACAGGUAAACACCCAAAACCCUUGUCCAAGUUGAAAAAAAAAGUUCUGAAUCUACGCCUAUAAAAAAGGGGUGAAUGAUACCAAAGGGACAGUCAAACUAAUAGAUCCAAAAUAAACAGACAAUGCCAUGGCUAAAAAUGAAAAAGACAAAUAACAGUACACAAGACAUAUAAUUAAAAACUAAAGAAUAUAAGCAACACAAAAC